rnacentral:rRNA from 5 species
ACGGGUGAGUAAUACAUCGGAACGUGCCCAAUCGUGGGGGAUAACGCAGCGAAAGCUGUGCUAAUACCGCAUACGAUCUACGGAUGAAAGCAGGGGAUCGCAAGACCUUGCGCGAAUGGAGCGGCCGAUGGCAGAUUAGGUAGUUGGUGAGGUAAAGGCUCACCAAGCCUUCGAUCUGUAGCUGGUCUGAGAGGACGACCAGCCACACUGGGACUGAGACACGGCCCAGACUCCUACGGGAGGCAGCAGUGGGGAAUUUUGGACAAUGGGCGAAAGCCUGAUCCAGCCAUGCCGCGUGCAGGAUGAAGGCCUUCGGGUUGUAAACUGCUUUUGUACGGAACGAAACGGCCUUUUCUAAUAAAGAGGGCUAAUGACGGUACCGUAAGAAUAAGCACCGGCUAACUACGUGCCAGCAGCCGCGGUAAUACGUAGGGUGCAAGCGUUAAUCGGAAUUACUGGGCGUAAAGCGUGCGCAGGCGGUUAUGUAAGACAGUUGUGAAAUCCCCGGGCUCAACCUGGGAACUGCAUCUGUGACUGCAUAGCUAGAGUACGGUAGAGGGGGAUGGAAUUCCGCGUGUAGCAG